AAAAUAAAGCACUAACAUGAUUAAGAGCACUUUAAAUAGCCGAAUAACACUUAUUUAUUCAACCGUUAAAUAAUAAGGGUGUAAUUUUGAAUACUUCAUUCACUUAACGGUCAGUUUUGCUCACGUCACGUCGAAGGGGCGGAGCUAUCAGACGCUGAUGUUGGAUUACUUCAUUAUUUUAUUGUGAACGCAAAAUUCCCCCACAUAAGGGAUUAUGGUGCCUCCCGAAAGUAAAUGCGGGUGUACUCAUGAAAAGGGUGGAAAAAACGAAGACUAUAAAAAUGAAAGAACACUUAAAGAGGAGAUGCAAAGAGGAUAUCAGGAUUUCACAAUAAAAGGUUUAUUAAAACGUGGUUUAGCUUCAGGGAGACAAAUAAAGGUAAUUAUAAGAUUCAUUAAGAAAGGUGGAUUAUACAUCAGAAUUUAGGAAAUCAGUCAGUCUCUUCACACUCCAUCACAGUAGGGGGCGAUAUGCACCCCGGUUCGCAACUCGCCAUAAAACCAAGAAGAAGAAGACGUUUAAAGUUUGCGUCUCGCGUAUCCUCCGAAUCUCCGAUCUGCAUCGCAAACUCCACACCAACGAAAUUAAUUUUUUAAAGCUUUAAUCUUCCAAGUAUGAAGAAACUGCCACAACAAGAGAAAGAGAGAAAAAGUCCCACUAAACUCGGGUCUAAUGGAGGAGACAAAAGAGAAAACUGGCUCACUGAAG